rnacentral:rRNA from 1 species
UACGUAGGGUGCAAGCGUUGUCCGGAAUUACUGGGCGUAAAGGGCGCGUAGGCGGACAGUUUAGUCAGAGGUGAAAGCCCAGGGCUCAACCUUGGAAUUGCCUUUGAUACUGGCUGUCUUGAGUUCGGGAGAGGUGAGUGGAACUGCGAGUGUAGAGGUGAAAUUCGUAGAUAUUCGCAAGAACACCAGUGGCGAAGGCGGCUCACUGGCCCGAUACUGACGCUGAGGCACGAAAGCGUGGGGGAGCAAACAGG